CUGGUCUGCCUCAGGGCUGAAGUCCUCUUUUUAUGCACCGAGUGGGAACAGCACAGGCAGUGACAAAGCUGGUUUUCUUCAAACCACUCCCACAAAUGGGCUCAGGCCAAGAAAAGGGCCCACACCUUUCGGGGAAGAGAACUAUGCAGCCUAUCAUGCCCAUUUAACCUGUGGUUUCA
ensembl:misc_RNA